UUACAGGAAAUUCUCUUUUGAUUAACUUAAAAAUUAUGUGUUUGUGUUUUAUGGGAACUUAUGGGAAGCUAUUAAGAUUCAUUUUCUUAAUUUCUUUGCUUUUUAGCAUAUUUAUGCUUGUGUGACCUAAGAUUUUUAUGUGUAACUUUUCAAUGAUUUUUGUUUAAAUCCAAGCUAAAUGGAUAGAGGUUGUGUUUUAGUUUCUUACUCUUUGUCACUUUAGACUUCAGAUUUUCAUGGGUGCUCAAGUGAAUAUUGUGUUGCAGUGACUUUGCAUUCUUCUACUGAGGACUUCAUUUGAAGAAUGUCAUCUUAUAAUUUUGACAUUAUAUUAAUUAGAGAUUUGCAAAAAUUCCAUCCCAUUUGUUAAUAAUUAAGAUUUGUUAUAUCACUUGUGCCAGUCAGCAUUUGCAUGAAAGUGUAAUUGAGUUGCAUAAAUGUAUGAAAUUGACUUGACAAUCUUAAGUUUCUGCAG
rnacentral:misc_RNA from 1 species